rnacentral:rRNA from 1 species
UACGUAGGGAGCGAGCGUUGUCCGGAAUGACUGGGCGUAAAGGGUGUGUAGGUGGUUUGGCAAGUUAGAAGUGUAAUACCUGAGCUUAACUCGGGUGCUGCUUUUAAAACUGUUAGACUUGAGUGCAGUAGAGGUUGAUGGAAUUCCUAGUGUAGCGGUGGAAUGCGUAGAUAUUAGGAGGAACACCAGAGGCGAAGGCGGUCAACUGGACUGUAACUGACACUGAGGCACGAAAGUGUGGGGAG